UUAGAAUGCCUAUAAAUAAAGUUAUAAACACGUAACACCCCGAAUCUUCGGGGUUUUUUAUUAUGUCACUGUAGUGAGACUGGGCUAAUAAGCCCUUUUAUG
rnacentral:sRNA from 1 species